UAACGCGAAGAACCUUACCUGGGUUUGACAUGUAGGGAAAAGCCGUAGAGAUACGGUGUCCUUUUGGGCCCUACAUAGGUGGUGCAUGGCUGUCGUCAGCUCGUGUCGUGAGAUGUUGGGUUAAGUCCCGCAACGAGCGCAACCCUUGUCCUAUGUUGCCAGCACGUAAUGGUGGGGACUCGUAGGAGACUGCCGGGGACAACUCGGAGGAAGGUGGGGACGAGGUCAAGUCAUCAUGCCCCUUAUGUCCAGGGCUGCAAACAUGCUACAAUGGCCAGUACAAAGGGCUGCUAUACCGCGAGGUUGAGCGAAUCCCACAAAGCUGGUCUCAGUUCGGAUCGGAGUCUGCAACUCGACUCCGUGAAGCUGGAGUUGCUAGUAAUCCCGGAUCAGCAACGCCGGGGUGAAUACGUUCCCGGGUCUUGUACACACCGA
rnacentral:rRNA from 1 species